rnacentral:rRNA from 1 species
UGGACCCUACGGGGGGCAGCAGUGAGGAAUAUUGGUCAAUGGGCGGAAGCCUGAACCAGCCAAGUCGCGUGAGGGAAUAAGGCCCUACGGGUCGUAAACCUCUUUUGCCGGGGAGCAAGGGCCGGGACGCGUCCCGGCCCGGAGAGUACCCGGAGAAAAAGCAUCGGCUAACUCCGUGCCAGCAGCCGCGGUAAUACGGAGGAUGCGAGCGUUAUCCGGAUUUAUUGGGUUUAAAGGGUGCGUAGGCGGGCUUUUAAGUCAGCGGUAAAAAUUCGGGGCCCAACCCCGUCCGCCGGUGGAAACUG